GGGGGUGUCACGGAUUCGACCUUGUGUCGUAAUACGAGGCUGCAUGUCGGAGAUAAUGGAGGCUCCGUAUCAAUCCAUUACAAAUAAUAAUUGGCGAAGAACAAUUCGCUCUUGCUGCUUAAAGCGGCAACGUUUCACCCUAGACACCUGCUAAGGGAGUGAGGCGUCGACUAGCAGGCAUAACUGAUAAUCUGGCUUCCGCUUAUCAGUUGUAUUUAGGAAGCCUGGAAACUGGAUAGCUCGCAUUUAGGCGAUUCAGCAACGACAAUAAAUUGAACGCUAAGCAUGUAGAUGCCACGUAAGAAAGCACGAGGGACGCGGGUUCGACUCCCGCCACCUCCACCA
rnacentral:tmRNA from 1 species